rnacentral:lncRNA from 1 species
ACCCAUAGCAUAUGGAAGUUCCCAGGCUAGGGGCUGAAUGAGAGCUACAGCUGCUGGUCUACACCACAGCCACAGCAAUGCCAGAUCCAAGCCACAUCUGCAACCUAUACCACAGCUCACAGCAAUGCCAGAUCCUUAACCCACUGAGUGAGGCCAAGGAUUGAACCCACACCCUCAUGGAUACUAGACAGGUUCACAACCUGCUGAGCCACAAUGGGAACUACUAGAAUGAAUAUUUUCGAAUUUUACAAAAGACCCCAAAUAGCCAAAGUAAUCUUGAGAAAGAAAAAUGGAGCUGGAGAACUCAGGAUCCCUGACUUCAGAUUACACUACAAAGCUAUAGUCAUUAAAACAGUAUGUUACUGGAACAAAAAACAGAUAGAGAUCAAGGGAACAGCAUUAAAAUCUCAGAAAUAAACCCACAUACCUAUGGUCAAUUAAUCUACAACAAAGGAGGCAAGAAUAUACAAUGGAGAAAAGACAACUUCUUCAAUAAGUGGUACUGGGAAACCUGGACAGCUACAUGCAAAAUAAUGAAAUUAGAACACUAACCCCAUGCACAAAAAUAAACUCAAAAUAGAUCAAAGAUCUAAACAUAAGACCAGAUACUAUAAAACUGUUAGAAGAAAAUGGCAGAACACUCUUUGACAGAAGUACCUAGCAUUCUUUCUUGAUUCACUUCCUAGAGUAAUGAAAAUAAAAACAAAAAUAAAUAAAUAGGACCUAAUUAAACUUAAGAACUUUUGCACAGCAAAGGGAACCAUAAACAAAAUGAAAAGACAAUACACAAAAUGGGAGAAAAUAUUUGAAAUGAAGUGACUGACAAGGGAUUAACCUCCAAAGUGCAUGAAAGACUCAAGCAGUUAAAUACCAAAAAAAAAAAAAAAAAAAGCCAAAUGGCCCAAUCAAAAAUUGUGCAGAAGACAUUUGUUCAAAGAAGACAUACAGAUGCACACAAAACACAUGAAAAGAUGCUCAACAUUGCUAAUUAUUAGAGAAAUGCAAAUCAAAAAUACAAUGGGGUAUCACCUCGCCCCAGUCAGAAUGGCCAACAUCAAAAAAAUCUACAAACAGUAAAUGCUGGAGAGGGUAUAGAGAAAAGGAAACCCUCCUAUACUGUUGGUGAAAAUGUAAGCUGGCACGACCACUAUGGAGAACAGUAUGGAGGUUCAAUCAAAAACUAAAAGUAGAACUACUGUAUGAUCCAGCAAUCCCACUCCUGGGCAUACACCCAGAGAGAACCAUAAUUCAAAGAGACAUACAAUCCAAUGUUCAUUGUGUCAUUAUUUACAAUAGCCAAAACAUGGAGGCAACCUAAAUAUCUACUGACAGAGGACUGGAUAAAGAAGAUGUGGUACAUAGAUACUGUGGAAUAUUACUCAGCCAUAAAAAAGAAUGAAAUAUUGCUAUUUGCAGCCAGAUGGAUAUAGCUAGAAAUUAUCAUACUGAGUGAAGUAAGUCAGACAAAGACAAAUAUCAUAUGAGAUCACUUAUAUGUGGAAUCUAAUAAAAAUGAUACAAAAGAACUUAUAAAACAUAAACAGACUAAAAGAUUUUGAAACCAAAUUCAUGGUUACCAAAGGGGAAAUGUGGUAGGAGGGAUAAAUAAGAGCUUGAGAUUGACAUAUACACAAUACUAUACAUAAAAUAGGUAGGUAGCAAUAACCUACUAAAUAGCACAAGGAAAUGUACUCAAUAGUGUAUAAUAACAUGUGGUAAAAGAAUCUGAAAAGGAAUGGAUAUAUGUAUAGCUGAUUUACUGUGCUGCACAUCUGAAACUAACACAACUUUCUAAGUCAACUCUACUCCAAUAAAAUUUAUUUUAAAAAAAGAAAUCUAGGAGUUCCAAAGAAAUCUAGGAGUUCCAUGGAUACUAGACAAAUUUGACUAGUAUCCAUGAGGAUGCGGCUUUGUUCCCUGGCCUCGCUCAGUGGGUCAGGAAUCCACCAUUGCUAUAAGCUGUGGUAUAGGUCGCAGACAUGGCUGGGAUCCCAUGUGGCUGUGGCUGUGGCAUAGGGUGGCAGCUGUAGUUCCAAUGAGACCCCUAGCCUGGGAACUUCCAAAUGCCACAGGUGCGGCCCUAAAAAGACAAACAAAAACAAAAACAAAAAAACCAAAAAACAAAAACAAGAAAAGAAAUCUAAACCUGAGUGAAGUCCCCCUGCAUCAUUACUUACAGAUUCCCUCCCCAAAGACCAACUGCAAAGUAUUACUGAGAACAUCCAUUAUCUGCCUCUUUGGAGAAUAAAGGAAAUAAUUAAUUAUCUCUGGUUUAAAAAUGGUCACGACCUUUCCCCAAGCUCCUCCCCACCACUGUCUACUUGGAUCUGCCUUCCCUUCUUGUAUGGCACCAGCCUACCACCAUGUGCCAUCUGUCAGCGUCUGCCUGCAACACGUGAAGCUUCUUAAGAAUCUGAGUAUCAUUUUAGAUCCUAUUUUUCAGGUUAAAAGCAGUAAAUUGCAGAUGGCAAGUUUUUUUUUUUUUUUCCCUUGAGAUUACUGAAAGCUGAGGUAAUUUUAUCGUGAGUCACAUUAAAAAAAGAACAAGUGAUGUUACACAGCACCUACUCAACAUGAAUAUGCGCAAAGAACAGCUCACCCAGUCACCCAUUGAGCAAAGGAGGGAAGGCAUUUGCUUUGCUUUAAGGUGACAGAUUUUGGAGUGAGAGAGUGUGUGCAGCUCAAUAUGCCCUGUAAGCACAAUCGGAAACCAUGUGCGAAGAUGCAGGUGAAAAAAAGCAACCAAACUGGUGGAGCACCUCCAAUGUGCUGAAUUACGGAAGGUGCUACAGAGAACUGACUCAUUAAAAAAGCUGGGGAGGGGUGACCUAGGUCAGGGAAAGGACUAAAAUCAUUAUGGCAAGAUUUUUUUCACAGCCUAUGAUCAGAAUUUGUGUAAAAAAAAGUUUUUAUUUCUCUUUGUCUAUAUUUGUUUCUAAAUUCUGGAUGUAAACAUUCCAGCUUCAACUUAAUUGUUGAAUUUUAAGACGCCCUUGAACCACGUUUCAUUGUUUGAAAUGAAACCACUCUGUAAGCAUCCUCAAAGGAGACCUCCUGCAGCAGAGGUUAAAGUUGAUAAAGAAAAGCUUAGGCAAUGCUGGAGCCCAAGAAAGGAAGAGGUUGCCUCAACUUUUAACCAGCUAUGAGAAUGUACUCCAAGUCAUUUCACUCCACUGAACUUCAAUAGGUUCUAAAGAGGCCUGAGUUGAUAACAGGGAUGAUUCUUGGUAGGUUUAUAUCCUAUAAUCCAUCUCUUUCUAAGAGAUUUUAUAUUGAAUCCUUCAGUAGAUGAUAUUUGAAAGUUUCUGCAGCCUUGAACUCUUCAAUUCACUUAAAAUAACCCAUGGAUGGUUCCUUACUGGAGUCAACCUAUAUCCUCGUUUUCCACUGCAAAUUUUAGAACACAGCAUAGGACACUUAUGACUAUUUGACUAAGCUGCUAUCCUCAAAGCUGGGCCCUGAUGAAUGAUAAAUCUAAGACACAGAAACAAAUGAUAACAGUAAAGAAAGGUAAUUAUGAUGUAGAUGAGACAAGGAAAUUUCUUUCCUAAUGACAUUAAACCAUGUGUUCCAAAGAAUCCUUUCUGGGUUGCAGCAAUAAAAGCCUUGAUCAGCUUCAGUCAUUAGGUAACAGGUGUUUGUGAGGUUCUCACUCUCUACCCUAAAUUUAUCCCAUAUUAACUAAUCCAUGAAUCUCACUAUUACCUAUGCAGGGAUAGUGUCUUAAAGCAAAUAUAUCAAAGUAUCAAUUAGUAAUAACUUCUGUGUUUUAGAAAGGUGCAAGGUACCUUAUCAGAGCCUUUCCCCAGUGACUUGAUUUGAACAUUUUUUUCUUUGAACACUGGUUUUGAUUGUAGUGAAGUAGAAAGAAAUACUUCUGAGAAAGAAUAAAUCUAGAGGAAAGUCUGUGGGCAUAAAGGAGGGGAAUAAACCAAUCAAGCAUCUGAGUGAUAGUAGAGUAAGGAGCUGACAACAGGAAGACGUGAUGGAAACAGAAACGAAAAUUAUUAUCUUUUCAAUGUAACCAAAAGCACAACUUUAUAAAAAAAAAAAAAGGACCUGUUUCCAAGAAUGGAUCUUUACUUAAUUGCCAUGCCCUUCUCAGCCUAGCCUUAACUGGCAUAGUGGCAGCUCAGGAAAACAAUAUGCAAAUAGGCAAUUUCCAAGUGGCAAUAAGUGAAAAGUGGCCCUUGCUAGGUUCCAUUACAAACACCUUUCUCCUAUAAAACCUUUCUCAUUUGUUAUGACUUCCUUUGUAUUUUCACAACCCUCGGCUCCAUCAUCCUUCCCAACAAAGCAGCCCCAAAUUCUUAUACUGGUCUGGGAAUGUGAAAUCUGACUCUCUUAUCAAACAAUGGCACAUAUGUCUGGGGGCUCCAAAAAGGCUUCAGGAGUGUUUCCCUAGGCAGCAAUGGGGUAACUAUUACAAUCUAGGUGGGGAAUCUAUGAGUAGGGUAUCUUCUGGCUCAUGUAGCUACACCACAUGACAAGAUGAACAUUUGCUGCUCUCUCUAGUUAUACAAACACACACACACACACACACAAUGAGGCACAAUACCAAUCUAUGCUGGUGAAAAAUAAGGCCCCUGGAAUGUUGGAAACCUCAGAUUAGCCAAAAAGCAAUCACAGCAUUGUCCAUUUCUUUUCUGAUUUCUACAGCGAUCCUAGGCCAGCUCAGGCUGAUAAGGCUCCAAUUUAUUCCUGGAAGUCACAGUGCUUGAUUAGUGCCUUCAGAAAACAUCCUUCUUUGAGAAGACAGUCUGAUAGAAAUUUAGAUUCAGUACUGAAACCAAAGUGAGAACAUUUAGCUAUACAUAUAUGUCACAAUGCCAUUGUUUUUCUACGUUACUGCUAUGUCUUGAAAAUCAAGAAAGAUUUUAUUAAGACCUAAAGGGUUCUAAGCAGGUCCUUUUUCUAAGCAGAGAGAGAGAGCCAUUACUAAAGGUAAAAAAGUGACAAGACCACCACCA